GUGUUAGGACGGCGACCGGAGGUGGGACAGCAGUUCGGUAGCACAGCCUCGAUCGUAAGGGGACGGGGGCUCGAGGUGGGGCUGUAGGUGGGCAGGAACGCGAGGUGGGGAAGGGGGUUCUGGCUUGGCGGCAGGAGCCCGGCGGGGGAGCUGUAGGUCGGCAGCAGGAACGGUUAGGGGCAAAGACGACGUCAGCCCCGGGGUAGAGGACCGAGGGCGACGACGGCGUGGACGACAACAGUCCCGAGGUAGAAACCCGAGAGCGACGACGGCCUGGACGACUUGCCCUGGACGACGACGACCCCUAGGUAGGGGAAGCUCAACGCGGGGAGAGCUUCGGUCGGCAGCGGCACGGGACUCACAGUAUGUCCACCUAUCAACAAGUUGUUUUACUAUAGACUUGAAGUUCGACCAUUCCUUUUCUCUACCACGUCUUCCUCGAAGUCGUCCGUGCUACCAAGCUGUUGGUGUUACAGCAUUCCGGUAGGGGUAACGGGCCAUUGUGAUAAAGUCGGCUCUUGGUGCUGACGGUCGUACGUCGUACUCGUUACCCAUAUCUUACCUACUGAUGGAGCGACCCUUUGUACCAACGCGUGCACGUCGUCUUUUGCUUACCCCCUACCUUUCCGAUGGAGUGGCCCUUGUUCCCGGUGCUGAACAUCACCCGUUGAUGAUCCGUAAAUCGGUCCACGUGUACCUGCACUACUGAAACGUCACGAAUACCUGGUUGGUUGGACAUUAGUACCCAGGAAUACACAGAAGUUCUAUUAAACUACAAAGCAGAUAAAACCUCGAACGUGAGACACGUACACCUAUGUAUGAACAAACCAGACCUCGAUCUGGUAGAUCGACUUCAGAGAGCAUGGUCAUUUAUCACGAGUAGGAAAACACUGAACACACUAGACCUCGAUCUGGUAGAUCGACUUCAGAGAGCAUGGUCGUUUAUCACGAGUAGGAAAACACUGAACACACAAGACCUCGAUCUGGUAGAUCGACUUCAGAGAGCAUGGCCGUUUAUCACGAGUAGGAAAACACUGAACACACAAGACCCACUAACAAUUCUACCAGUUUUGAUACGAAACAGUUCUAACAACACAAACAGUUGAACGCAAGCCACAUAUACGUACAAACACUUGUAUAAAAGUAAAAAUAUGUCAUACACAAGUAGAACUUGGACGA
rnacentral:rRNA from 1 species